GUGAGGAAUAUUGCGCAAUGGAGGCAACUCUGACGCAGCCAUGCCGCGUGCAGGAAGAAGGCGCUACGCGUUGUAAACUGCUUUUAACCGGGAAGAAACCCCAGGACGUGUCCUGGGUUGACGGUACCGGAGGAAUAAGCACCGGCUAACUUCGUGCCAGCAGCCGCGGUAAUACGAAGGGUGCAAGCGUUAUCCGGAUUCAUUGGGUUUAAAGGGUGCGUAGGCGGAGCGUUAAGUCAGUGGUGAAAUCCUGCAGCUUAACUGUAGACUUGCCAUUGAUGCUGGCGCUCUUGAGUGCGCUUGAAGUGGGCGGAAUGUGCCGUGUAGCGGUGAAAUGCUUAGAUAUGGCACAGAACACCAAUUGCGAAGGCAGCUCACUAAGGCGAUACUGACGCUGAGGCACGAAAGCGUGGGGAUCGAACAGGAUUAGAUACCCCUGUAGUCC
rnacentral:rRNA from 1 species